rnacentral:rRNA from 1 species
CGGGGUGCACCAGGCGCGAAAACUUUACAAUGCGGGAAACCGUGAUAAGGGGACACCGAGUGCCAGCAUCAUAUGCUGGCUGUCCGGGUGUGUAAAAUACACCCGUUAGCAAGGGCCGGGCAAGACCGGUGCCAGCCGCCGCGGUAACACCGGCGGCCCGAGUGGUGAUCGUGAUUAUUGGGUCUAAAGGGUCCGUAGCCGGUUUGGUCAGUCCUCCGGGAAAUCUGACGGCUCAACCGUUAGGCUUUCGGGGGAUACUGCCAGGCUUGGAACCGGGAGAGGUAAGAGGUACUACAGGGGUAGGAGUGAAAUCUUGUAAUCCCUGUGAGACCACCUGUGGCGAAGGCGUCUUACCAGAACGGGUUCGACGGUGAGGGACGAAAGCUGGGGGCACGAACCGGAUUAGAUACCCGGGUAGUCCCAGCCGUAAACGAUGCUCGCUAGGUGUCAGGCAUGGCGCGACCGUGUCUGGUGCCGCAGGGAAGCCGUGAAGCGAGCCACCUGGGAAGUACGGCCGCAAGGCUGAAACUUAAAGGAAUUGGCGGGGGAGCACAAGGGCGAAUCGCG